GCGUUGUCCGGAUUUAUUGGGCGUAAAGAGCUCGUAGGCGGUUCGGUAAGUCGGGUGUGAAAACUCUGGGCUCAACCCAGAGCCGCCACCCGAUACUGCUGUGACUCGAGUGCGGUAGGGGAGCGGGGAAUUCCUGGUGUAGCGGUGAAAUGCGCAGAUAUCAGGAGGAACACCAGUGGCGAAGGCGCCGCUCUGGGCCGUGACUGACGCUGAGGAGCGAAAGCGU
rnacentral:rRNA from 1 species